rnacentral:rRNA from 1 species
GGGGUCCGACUAAUCCAUGCGAGUCGAGAGGGUAAAGCCCUCGGCGUAAUGCUCAGUAACACGCGGAUAACCUGCCCUUGGGUCCGGGAUAACCCCGGGAAACUGGGACUAAUACCGGAUAGAUCAAAGAUACUGGAAUGUUCUCUGGUCCAAAACUCCGGUGCCCAAGGAUGGGUCUGCGGCCUAUCAGGUUGUAGUGGGUGUAACGUACCUACUAGCCUACGACGGGUAAGGGUUGUGAGAGCAAGAUCCCUGAGAUGGAUUCUGAGACAUGAAUCCAGGCCCUACGGGGUGCAGCAGGCGCGAAACCUUUACACUGCGGGAAACCGCGAUAAGGGGACCCCGAGUGCCAGCACCUAGUGCUGGCUGUCCCGCUGUCUAAAUAACAGUGGUUAGCAAGGGCCGGGCAAGACCGGUGCCAGCCGCCGCGGUAACACCGGCGGCCCGAGUGGUAGCCGCUAUUAUUGGGUUUAAAGGGCCCGUAGCCGGCCUAUUAAGUCUCUUGGGAAAUCUGGCGGCUUAAUCGUCAGGCGGCCAAGAGAUACUGGUAGGCUUGGGACCGGGAGAGGUGGGAGGUACUCCAGGGGUAGGGGUGAAAUCUCGUAAUCCUUGGGGGACCACCGAUGGCGAAGGCAUCCCACCAGAACGGGUCCGACGGUGAGGGACGAAAGCUGGGGGCACGAACCGGAUUAGAUACCCGGGUAGUCCCAGCUGUAAACGAUGCUCGCUAGGUGUCAGGUGCGGUGCGACCGCAUCUGGUGCCGCAGU